GGGCCGUUAGCUCAGUUGGUAGAGCAACUGACUUUUAAUCAGUAGGUCGCUGGUUCGAAUCCAGCACGGCUCACCA
rnacentral:tRNA from 2 species